AGUGUGGUGGUCUAGAGGUAUGAUUCCUUCUUAGCGUUCUUGACUCAUCUGGAGGAGGUCCCGGGUUCAAUUCCUGGCCAGGCCC